ensembl:misc_RNA 7SK 7SK RNA
GGAUGUGAGGGCGAUCUGGCUGUGACAUCAGUCACCCCAUUGAUCUCCAGGGUUGAUUCUGCUGAUCUGGCUGGUUAGGCGGUGUCCCCUUCCUCCCACACCGCUCCAUGUGUGUCCUUCCCAAAGCUGCGCGCUUGGUCGAAUGGGAUGACCAUUCUCAAUAGAGGAAGACUGGUCUUUGGUCAAGGGUAUACAAGUAGCUGCGUUCCUCUGCUAGAACCUCCAAACAAGCUCUCCAGGUCCAAAAUAAAUUAGGAGCAAAAUAUCUGCAAAACAUUCCUUAUUUUCUAAACUGUCCACAUACUAGUUUUG